rnacentral:rRNA from 1 species
GCUGUGGAACUCCUACGGGAGGCAGCAGUGGGGAAUAUUGCACAAUGGGGGAAACCCUGCUGCGGCCAUGCCGCGUGUGUGAAGAAGGCCUUCGGGUUGUAAAGCACUUUCAGUAGGGAGGAAAGGGUGUAGUUUAAUACGCUAUAUCUGUGACGUUACCUACAGAAGGAGGACCGGCUAACUCCGUGCCAGCAGCCGCGGUAAUACGGAGGGUCCGAGCGUUAAUCGGAAUUACUGGGCGUAAAGCGUGCGCAGGCGGUUUGUUAAGCGAGAUGUGAAAGCCCUGGGCUCAACCUAGGAAUAGCAUUUCGAACUGGCGAACUAGAGUCUUGUAGAGGGGGGUAGAAUUCCAGGUGUAGCGGUGAAAUGCGUAGAGAUCUGGGGGAAUACCGGUUGCGAAGGCGGCCCCCUGGACAAAGACUGACGCUCAUGCACGAAAGCGUGGGGAGCAAACAGGAUUAGAUACCCUGGUAGUCCUACCACGU